GGCAAAGCUCAAAUUUGAAAUCUGGCACUUUCAGUGUCCGAGUUGUAAUUUGAAGAAGGUAUCUUUGGGUCUGGCUCUUGUCUAUGUUUCUUGGAACAGAACGUCACAGAGGGUGAGAAUCCCGUGCGAUGAGAUGUCCCAGACCUAUGUAAAGUUCCUUCGAAGAGUCGAGUUGUUUGGGAAUGCAGCUCUAAGUGGGUGGUAAAUUCCAUCUAAAGCUAAAUAUUGGCGAGAGACCGAUAGCGAACAAGUACAGUGAUGGAAAGAUGAAAAGAACUUUGAAAAGAGAGUGAAAAAGUACGUGAAAUUGUUGAAAGGGAAGGGCUUGAGAUCAGACUUGGUAUUUUGUAUGUUACUCUCUCGGGGGUGGCCUCUACAGUUUACCGGGCCAGCAUCAGUUUGAGCGGUAGGAUAAGUGCAAAGAAAUGUGGCACUGCUUCGGUAGUGUGUUAUAGUCUUUGUCGAUACUGCCAGCUUAGACUGAGGACUGCGGCUUCGGCCUAGGAUGUUGGCAUAAUGAUCUUAAGUCGCCCGUCUUGA
rnacentral:rRNA from 1 species